rnacentral:rRNA from 1 species
GCGGACGGGUGAGUAACACGUAGGCAACCUGCCCGUAAGACUGGGAUAACUACCGGAAACAGUAGCUAAUACCGGAUACGCAAGUCUCUCGCAUGAGGGGCUUGGGAAAGGCGGAGCAAUCUGUCACUUACGGAUGGGCCUGCGGCGCAUUAGCUAGUUGGUGGGGUAACGGCUCACCAAGGCGACGAUGCGUAGCCGACCUGAGAGGGUGAACGGCCACACUGGGACUGAGACACGGCCCAGACUCCUACGGGAGGCAGCAGUAGGGAAUCUUCCGCAAUGGACGAAAGUCUGACGGAGCAACGCCGCGUGAGUGAUGAAGGUUUUCGGAUCGUAAAGCUCUGUUGCCAGGGAAGAACGUCCGUUAGAGUAACUGCUAACGGAGUGACGGUACCUGAGAAGAAAGCCCCGGCUAACUACGUGCCAGCAGCCGCGGUAAUACGUAGGGGGCGAGCGUUGUCCGGAAUUAUUGGGCGUAAAGCGCGCGCAGGCGGCUGUUUAAGUCUGGUGUUUAAUCCUGG